rnacentral:misc_RNA from 1 species
UGAUGCUGGGAAAAGUGCAGUUUGAACUCAAGAAACUUGUUGAUAGCUACCGUUCUCACAUAUUCCAGACAAUUACAAUCCCAUCGGAGUCUCUUCUCAAUGAGCUUCAAACUGUUGAGGAGAUGAAGCGGCAAUGUGAUGAGAAAAGAGAUGUAUAUGAAUACAUGAUAAUGAAGCAAAGAGAAAAAGGAAGGGGAAGAAGUAGGAAGGCAGAGACUUUUUCUAUGAUGCAGUUACAAGUGGCUCAUGAUGAAUAUGAUGAAGAGGCAAC